UACAGAGGGUGCGAGCGUUAAUCGGAAUUACUGGGCGUAAAGCGCGCGUAGGCGGCUUUGCAAGUCGGGUGUGAAAUCCCCAGGCUUAACCUGGGAACUGCAUUCGAGACUGGAAGGCUCGAAUCCGGGAGAGGGAUGUGGAAUUCCAGGUGUAGCGGUGAAAUGCGUAGAUAUCUGGAGGAACAUCGGUGGCGAAGGCGGCAUCCUGGACCGGUAUUGACGCUGAGGCGCGAAAGCCAGGGGAGCAAACGGG
rnacentral:rRNA from 1 species